rnacentral:rRNA from 1 species
CCAGACUCCUACGGGAGGCAGCAGUGGGGGAUAUUGGACAAUGGGGGGAACCCUGAUCCAGCGACGCCGCGUGAGUGAAGAAGUAUUUCGGUAUGUAAAGCUCUGUCAGCAGGGAAGAAAGAAAUGACGGUACCUGACCAAGAAGCCCCGGCUAACUACGUGCCAGCAGCCGCGGUAAUACGUAGGGGGCAAGCGUUAUCCGGAAUUACUGGGUGUAAAGGGAGCGUAGACGGCAUGGCAAGUCUGAAGUGAAAGCCCGGGGCUCAACCGCGGGACUGCUUUGGAAACUGUUAAGCUGGAGUGCAGGAGAGGUAAGUGGAAUUCCUAGUGUAGCGGUGAAAUGCGUAGAUAUUAGGAGGAACACCAGUGGCGAAGGCGGCUUACUGGACUGUAACUGACGUUGAGGCUCGAAAGCGUGGGGAGCAAACAGGAUUAGAUACCCGCGUA